GUUUGCAGUCCUCUAGAAAGGUCAUUGAUAUAUAUAUGUCUGUGUUCAUACCUCUCCAACAGUGUAAUGGCAAGGGCUGAUUAGAGGGAGCAGCUUUCCAUAACCAAGUAUUUUCACUCAGAGCUCUUGUUUACUGGAAAAAAUAUGAUGAUUGACACUUGAGAAGCUGAUCUGAGUGAAGGAGUCUUUUCAGCAUUCCCUCAAAACCCAAAAGCCUGAUAGCAACACCUCCAAAACUCACUGCACUCCUCUGGUCAGAAUCAAGUAGAAAUAGCUCUGCAGAACUGACAGACUUGGUUCUAAAAUUGAACGCUGUAAUCAGUGAUAAUGAAGGUAAAAGGAACAGAGUGACUGGUGAAUUAAAUCUGUGU